GUUAUUCUUUACUCCAGAAUAUGGCAAUCAUGCACAAUUAAAUGUGAUUGACAUUUCUGUAAUGGAGUAACACAUGUGAUUAAUAGAGUAACACAU
ensembl:miRNA